rnacentral:rRNA from 1 species
AUGCCGGACAGAAACAUCCUUGAAGGGGUGGUCGUCCUUCAUGAAACGCUCCAUGAAAUCCAUUCCAAGAAGUUAGAUGGUGUCAUUUUUAAGGUGGAUUUCGAGAAAGCGUACGAUAAGGUUAAAUGGCCAUUUCUCCAACAGGCAUUGCGUAUGAAAGGCUUUGAUGAAGCCUGGCGACGCCAGGUUGAAUCAUUUACGCAAAAAGGGAGUGCGGGAAUUAAAGUGAAUGACGAUAUUGGUCAUUACUUCCAGACACAUAAAGGCCUAAGACAAGGAGAUCCGAUGUCCCCUAUCUUGUUUAACAUUGUGGUUGAUAUGUUAGACAUCUUGAUAGGAAGGGCUAAGGAGAAUGGUCAAGUGGGUGGCUUGGUCCCUCAUCUGGUUGAUGGAGGUGUAUCCAUCCUUCAGUACGCUGAUGAUACAAUCAUCUUUAUGGAGCAUGAACUGGCCAAGGCGAGAAAUAUGAAGCUGGUGUUAUGCCUCUUCGAACAAUUGACCGGGUUAAAGAUUAACUUUCAUAAGAGCGAGCUGUUCUGCUUUGGUAGAGCCAAAGACGAACAGGAGGCUUAUCAGCAAUUGUUUGGGUGCGACUUGGGGGAUUUACCUUUCUCUUACCUAGGUAUUCCAAUCCACCAUAGAAAGCUGACCAAUAGAGAAUGGAAGUGCAUCGAAGACCGGUUUGAGAAGAAACUGAGUUGCUGGAAGGGCAAGCUCAUGUCAUAUGGAGGCCGAUUAAUUCUGAUUAAUUCGGUGCUCACGAGUAUGCCUAUGUUUCUCUUAUCGUUCUUUCAAGUCCCAGUUGGUGUUAGGAAAAGACUGGACUUUUAUCGAUCGCGUUUCUUUUGGCAGGGUGAUGAUCUAAAAAGAAAAUACAGACUUGCAAAAUGGGAUAUCAUCUGUAGACCGAAAGACUAA